UGCAUAUCAGCCCCCAUAGGAGAAGUAGACCUCAAGCUUUCAUCUCCCUCUAUUUCGCAAAUCGUUCGGUGAAAUCGAAUUCUAGACGCUUAUUCCCCGAUGACUUGAGGUGUGGAAGAUGUGGAGAAAGGAGUUCAUCAUUCACUACAAGUCAUGGACCAAUGAAUGUUAAGGGAACAAUGUGGUGUGUAUAUACCAACUGCAAAAAUUAGACCAGUCCAAUAUCCGGAUAUCAUCAUACUUAAUCAUAUGAUAUAUGAUAUGUUGUUUCUAUAUUGUUUUCCAAAUAUGAAUUGGUUAUAUUCUCGCUCCAACUUUGUUGUCUAUGAGUAAUUUUUCAUUCUAA